UCUCUUUCAGUGUUAAAAAAUUAUGCUUUUAUGCUGAAAUUUAUGCUUUGCUUCUGUGAACAGUAAACCCUGACUUGAUGAGGCAGACCAGCCAACAUACAACUUUUAAACUUUUGUCAUCCUAACAACAAACACAACAAUACAUGGCAGACAGCAAUAAUACAUGUGCCAUAUUAUACAGAAUAUAGUUUUUAGCUAUUUAUUUUUUAAUGAUAUAUUCAAGCAUAAUUAGUUAUUUUCCCCCCAAAUCAUUUGUAGGGGCAGAGUUCCUGGGCAGAAUCAGGAAACAGGUAAGUACAUUUAAUAUUUAAAAAGGGAUAGUUCACUCAAAAUUCGGUCAUUAUUAACUUACCCUGGUGUUGUUCUAAUGCUGUUCUUUCUCUUUCGGAACGCAAAAAGAGAAAUUCUGAAUAAUGACCUGCUCAUGUCCAUUAUGUGGAUAAUUUAAUGACAGAGUAUAAUAACCAGUCUCAAAUUUAAGUAUACAAAAAAAUCACAGAUACAAUGACAUGCCUGCCAUAUAUUCUGUGUGUUCUUGAAGCGUACUGUAGGAUUUGGUGAGGAAAACCAUAAAAGGUCCUUUAUUUUUUAGUCCAACAUGAUCUACCUAUAGGGCAUUAGAAUAACACCAGCGUUAGUAUGAAUUAUUAUUUUUUUUUAAUAUUCAUAAUUUCCAUCUGAUUCAUGUUUCAUCAACUGCUGGUCAAGUGUGGGAUUCAUCUGCUGUGAAUGGACAAAUCAGUGCUGCAGGCUUCUACAUAAAUGCAGGUGUUUUAGAUGCUGAGUCUGACAGCCUAACAUUCACAGAUGGGGUGUCUCCAGGAUUCAUGGCACCUGAUGGCAUGGGAGGCAACAGCAAUGAACUGAUGAACAGAGAUGAACGUUAUGAAGAUAAGCGUGUGCAUCCAAAGGGAAAGAAGAAAAAAGUAAGAAGAGAGGGGAGAACAGCUUCACCACUAAAGAGGAAAAGCAU
ensembl:lncRNA